rnacentral:rRNA from 1 species
CGCAGCGGAAAGCUCAGUAACACGUGGCCAAACUACCCUGUGGAUGGGAACAAUCUCGGGAAACUGAGGCUAAUUCCCAAUAACGCUCCACCCCUGGAACGGGCGGAGCUGGAAACGCUACGGCGCCACAGGAUGUGGCUGCGGUCGAUUAGGUAGACGGUGGGGUAACGGCCCACCGUGCCAAUAAUCGGUACGGGUUGUGAGAGCAAGAGCCCGGAGACGGAAUCUGAGACAAGAUUCCGGGCCCUACGGGGCGCAGCAGGCGCGAAACCUUUACACUGUACGCAAGUGCGAUAAGGGGACUCCGAGUGUGAAGGCAUAGAGCCUUCACUUUUGUACACCGUAAGGUGGUGUACGAAUAAGGGCUGGGCAAGACCGGUGCCAGCCGCCGCGGUAAUACCGGCAGCCCGAGUGAUGGCCGAUAUUAUUGGGCCUAAAGCGUCCGUAGCUGGCCGGACAAGUCCGUUGGGAAAUCUGUUCGCUUAACGAGCAGGCGUCCAGCGGAAACUGUUCGGCUUGGGACCGGAAGACCUGAGGGGUACGUCCGGGGUAGGAGUGAAAUCCUGUAAUCCUGGACGGACCACCGGUGGCGAAAGCGCCUCAGGAGGACGGAUCCGACAGUGAGGGACGAAAGCUAGGGUCUCGAACCGGAUUAGAUACCCGGGUAGUCCUAGCUGUAAACGAUGCCCGCUAGGUGUGGCGCAGGCUACGAGCCUGCGCUGUGCCGUAGGGAAGCCGAGAAGCGGGCCGCCUGGGAAGUACGUCUGCAAGGAU